GAAAAGUUUUAUUUUAGUUUGGGAAAUUUUAUUUAUCUAAAAAUUAUAUGUAUUUUUUGAUUUUAAAUAGUUAUUUAGCAGUAGUUAAUUUUAUAAAUUUUAUAAUUAAGGAUUUUGUUAUAGAUUUUAGUUUCAACAAAUUUUGUGCCAGCAGUUGCGGUUAUACAAUUUGAUGCAUUAAAAUUUUAUUAAUUUAUAUUAAAUUGUAAUUAUUUGAUUUUUAUUUUUUAAUUUUAGGUGAAAUUUUAUUAUUUUAAUAUAAAUUUAUUGAUUAUGAGUCUAUGAAAUCUUUAUUUUAAACAAGGAUUAGAUACCCUUUUAUUUUAGAUGUAAAUUUUAUAUAUUGAUUAUUAUUAGUUAUGUUCUAUAAAUUUAAUAAUUUUGGCGGUAUUUUAGACCAGUUAGAGGAAUCUGUCCUGUAAUUGAUAUUCCACGAUAAAAUUUACUUUAUUAAUGUUUGUAUAUCGUCGUUGUUAAAAAUUUUUAGAAUAUUAAUUUUUAAUUUUUAUAAUUUUAAAUUAAUUCAGAUCAAGGUGCAGUUUUAUAAAGUAGAGAUGGAUUACAUUAAAGAUAUUUUAAGAUUUUUGUAUAAAAAUAUAAUUUGAAUUUGGAUUUAAAAGUAAUUUUAUAUAUUUUUAUAAAAUGAUUAUGGCUCUAGAAUAUGCACAUAUCGCCCGUCGCUUUCAUUUUAAUUUGAAAUAAGUCGUAACAUAGUAGAUUUACUGGAAGGUGAAUCUAGAAAUA
rnacentral:ncRNA from 1 species